CAACUUCACAACCUACUCAAAUACAUCUAUUUUUGCAACAAAAUAGUCUCUCAUGUCAAUAUGUGUUGCUCUUACAAUAC